UUCUGCCAUGAUUCUGAGGCCUCCCAGCCACGUCGAACUACAGAAGAAGGAGAUGCCAGUGACAAGCAAAGUAACUCCCCCACGGCAUGGGAAGAGCCAGCAUCUGCUGCUGUCCAGGAAUACAGUCUCACUGCUGCAGUCAAGGAAGGCCAAAGAAGCCACCGGGGAAAACCAACCCAUCCCGGGGACACUGGAGGCUCACUCCUUCCUCGCUGCAUUCUGAGGCUGCUGCUUUGGAGUGAGAGAUUAUCCUCUGCUUCUCCUGAAAGAGAAGGUGAUAUGCCCAGGACCCUUCCUGAGUAAGAUGUGUUCCUCAGAGGUUAAAAAAGAAAAAAAAGCCCCAAACCCCUGAAACCAAGAAAUCAAGACAGCUCUGGUGGAGAAGCUUUUGGGAACUUGCUGGGGCAGGCUCCAAUCAGCUUAAAGUCCUUGCAAAGAAAGAAAUUGUGCCCUGUCUCUCAGCGUCGACCAUAGCAGAGAGCCUGGGACAUGAAUGGGUGUCAUUAUUUAUCUGCUGAACAAAUAGAAAAACAUUGUCACUGGAAAGACUGAAACUAACAUGAGUGGAAAAGAAUUGAAGCUCAAGAAGCAAAUUAUCUGGAUUUUACAGAGGAAGGAGGACAUUGAAGAUUAGAGGUUGCAUAGCCUGACCAUGUUUACAUCUACUGCAGAUGAAGAGAUUGCUUCGCUUCAAACCUCCUGACUGCCAUGGAACCAUCUGGCACAUACACGUGUGUGGGUGGCGUCAGAAGUGGGAUCUGAAGUAGAGCUUCUAAUGACCUCUAGGAGUGCUGAGUGACCAAGUGAGGUACCUGCAGGACCCUUUUGUGUUCAGUGAUCUCUUGGAGCAGCUGGGGAUCAUGCUUGACCUCCACGGCUAUAGUGUGGUGAACAGGCUCAGUAGGGCUGCUCAGAGAAAGGGAAUCCAGAAGCCUGGCAUGCUGGCAAAAGGGUAAGAAUUUCUUACCAGUCAGACUUCUCACCUCUCUCUUUCUGUGCAAAAUGGUUGGAUGAAUGGUAAAAAUCACUGUUUAUCUCUUCUGUAAAGUUCUAAUUAAUAUGAAAAAAGGCUUCUGAGGCUAGACCUAAGCUGUAGCAAAUGCGAUGUGCUUUGUGUGUCUUCUGUAUGGUUUUGUCAUAAAGAGGAGUAUGUUAGGAUAGAACAUGGGCUUAGGACCCCAUAAGCUCACUAUUCAAGAUGGCCCAGCAAGCUGGUCAGUAACAAACUUUGUUGCAGUUACCUGAAACAAACAAAAAACUGGAUGAGGUUUCCAUCUUGUUUUAUGUCCUUGGGAAUUUGACCUCAUAACCAUGUGGCAAUACUUUCUCUUGGUCUCUGCCAUGUAAGGAACAGGAAUUGGGGGAUUCAUGUCAUAGCCCUAAAAAUUAUUGAACAGUAAAAGCCUUUGUGACCACACCACUGUACUCCAGCCUGUGUAACAGAGC
rnacentral:lncRNA from 1 species